CAUUAAUCAACCCAAAAAAAACCUAUUGAGUAAAGGGUUUGGCUAUGUGCUCCCAUGACGUGCAGUAAUAUUACGGGUAAUUUACAGCGCCAUCCCCUGAAGAAUGUCAGUAUUGUAGGAACACCUCCUCUCUUUUAUUAAAUUAAACUCAGAUCCCAUACCGUCGGUUACUAUUAAGGAAUAUACCUUAUAUACUGAUAUCAGCUACUAUAUUUUUUUUUUAAAUACCAAAAUACCCUUACUAUAUAUGAAGUACCUAAAAUACCGAUGUAAGUCCCACCCUAAAUCAUCUACACCUACCGCCAUGUCUCCACCGCCCUCUGCUUCCGAAGCACAGGAAGACCACUGAUGACGGUGGCUGACCAGCGAUGGCUGGAUUUGACCGCCGGAGAACGAGUUAAUUGCGGUGGUUCGAGUUCCCUGAAUGAAUUUAAGAUGACACCUUUUGCUUCCGUAAACCUUCGGCCGUGAUAGACUUACCAGCCGUAGCCAUCGCCUUUUUUGCUCCACAUUGGCAACGGGGAGGUGGAGCAUGACACCGAGCAGACCAACAGGGGAGGUGAAGAAGAUGUAGGAAGGGACGCUAAGUUCGUUAGCGACAUCGAUCAAGGUAGAGCAGAAAAGAUCGAUGACUAACCCUGCGAUUGGAGCCCGAAUUGGAGUUGAUUCAGAGUCCAAAUCGACUGGUGAUUGUGUGUUUGACAAGUGGUUUGUGGGUUUCUACGAGAACGGACACGAGGCUCUCUCGGAUUCGAAGAUUGGAUGACGAAGGAGGUGGCUCGAGCUCAGGGAGGUGGACGAAUCGGAUUUGUGGAAGGGAAUCGGUGUAAGAAGUGAAAUCUGAUGAAACAAAGAGUGUUUUGAUGAGGAAGACGCUGAUGGAGAAACGAUCGUCUCGAUCGAAGAGUUGUUUGGCAAACUCCAUCCUUGAGACAACAUGAAUCCCAUAGCUGGGAUGAACACCAACUCUGCUUUCUUCUUCAUCCUUUAUUUUUUUUUCCUGCUGUAAGGUCGCUUCCUAUCGGGUUUUAUUCGACUAAUUUAUUGCGAAUGGUCGGAAAGGGGAGACCUGGAAAGCUUGUCGGAUGUGAUUGGGCUCUCUCCAGCCAGCGCUGGGAGGAUCAAAAUCAAAUUCUGUAUUACACGAUGGGCGCACCUAAAUUAGGAUGAUUUAAAAUAUGAAUUGAGAGCUUCAUAGCAUGUUUUUUUUUUUUUUUUCUUUUGGUUUGGUUGUCUAUGUGUACAGAGAUGCUGGUCUGGAUGGAAAUCUUCCAUUGAUGAUGGCCAUGGUUGCUUCAUAAUGGCGACUCUACACAGUAAAAUUGGAAUCUCUCUCUCUCUC